UGGUGCUGAGGUGAAGUUGCAGAGGAAUGCUUCGUGCGUCUUGCAAGCUCCAACUGGUAACGAAGUUGCAGAACAAUGUAGCUGAGAAUAUUUGUACCUGCCUGGUGGAGCUUGAGCUGGUGCUACCGGCAUCCACUACGACCUGCUGCCCAUGCCUUCGUUGACUGGGACGUCUCCUACAGCACCACGUCCCCCAUCGGCGUGCCACAGAAGGGUCUUCAGGAGAAGGACCUAGAUGGUCAUGCUGAGAAGGGCAUACAGCAUAACCAGAAGGCCACCUUCCGUGGAGAAGAUAAUGAAGCGUAGAGAAGAAACACCUGAAGUUCAAAAGAAAGGCCAAUGGUCUCUUCUAUGAGCACACCUUGUCUCUCACUGAACAUCUUUGUGUGUUUCAACUUGAGUCAGAUGCUCUUUGUCUUCAAGAAAGCUGUUGUGGUGACAUAAGUGACCCUCCCAAACCAAAAGAGCAUGUGUGAGAGCUUCUUCCCAUGCUCUGACACUUUGAUUUUGGGACGAGAUUGAUGCUUCUCCUGAUGUGUAUAUGCAUGCCUGUGCUGCUGUUGUGCUGGUUGUGGCCGCCUGCGUCUCACGCGAGGUUGUUGGCUUAGCUGGCCCGCGGCUUCGACUACCUCCUCGGCGAGUUCACCACGGCGUAACCAUGAUGCUCGUGCUCGGCUACAACAUCUCCUGUGAGUUACUGGAUGCAAAAGUGGAAUAGGACGAGGAAGAUUGUUGAGUAGCGUCCUAAGUGGUGGUGGUGGACAUGGUGGUAAAGGGGG